CAUUGCUCCUGGUUUUUCAGCGCUGCUUCUCUCAUUUAUCUUAACUCUUUGCCCAUGAUAUAUGAAGACACAACUAAUUUAGAUUGUCACAAGCAUAGUGAUUGCACUAACCUCUUUUGUAUAUUUAAUAUGGCGUUGCAGGCUGCGACCACCAUCAGCAGCAUCAAAAGGCUCUCUGACGGGCUGCUGGAUACAAUGGCUCCCUCUUCGAAUCCGGCGGCUGGUGCCCGGCCACUCGUUCCUCUCCGAUACUGAAGGCUGGGUAUUUCCGGGAAUGCCUGACCAGUUUUGUCAUCAGCUUGUUGGUUCCUUGAUGGAUGCUUGGAAGGUGCUUUGUGGAAAUGCCUUACUGUAACGAGCAAGAUUUAUGGAAUGUGCUCGUGAUAUAGUCUUUGCUUUAUCAUAAUCAGGUGUAUGCGCUGCUUUUAGUAGAGGUAUCUUUGCCUUCUUGCAUUCUAUUUGUGCCAUUUGGCUAUCCUGAGAUUGUCUUCUUAUAGUUGCAGAGACAAAUCAGAGAAUAUGCUUUCUGAAUGAGAGUCCUGAUGAAGUUAUCCACAGUUUAUUUUACAACAAGAAUAAUAAUUCACUCAUUAUCGUGUCACUAUAUGGUUCUAAAAAUUUCAGUGCUCUGCGAUGCAUGACAACUUGAAUAGAGUAAAUUCGACGAGGACAACCAGAUGUUGGUUUCCCUCUUUUUGAGAUAGAGUCCUUAAAAUGGCCUGGAUUUGUGGAUUUUGAUGAUGUCAAUGGAAAGGUUUUGACUUACUCCGCUCAAGACAGCCCUAGGGUAAUGCUAUUGAUUUAUACAAGAACACGCAGCUCUGUUCCUCUGAAGAUUCUAUCUAUUGAGGAUGGUAAGGUCUUGAAGUCUUUCAGGGUGUUCAAUCCCUUGGUCAACUUUUUGGUUGUACAACCAAGAACAUUGAGAGUCAUUUGGAAACCCUUGCAUCACACCAUAAUGUAGGAAACAAGAAUCUUUGCCAGAGCGAGAUGUUGCAAGAUGUUAGCAUAGAUUAAUCUACUCAAUCCACUUUACUCUGCGAAGCAUCAAUGGUAACACUACUUCUGAUUGGUUGCCUGAUUGCUAGACAGGUGAAGGUUCGGGUCUUGGAGCGCUCAUGAGUAUUUCUUAAUCCCCUCUACUGUUCUGAGCCAACAAAGUUUCCAUCUUGCACUUGCUCUAGCCCCUGCUCUGAAGAAUUUUUGAGCUUGGUUGCAAAUCAGAAAAUGACCGAAGUGAAGCGUGAGGAGAUGGUCCAUCAUCCAUCCAUGGACCAGCUCCAGGGUUUUGAGUCCUGCAUCGACUUGAAUCCUUCCUGGGUAUCUGCCACAUUGCAGUGAACCAACUAUGUGAUCCCUUUCUUGAUCCGUUUGUUGUGUUUAUGGAUUGCUAAUUCUGGGUGAUUGUGGGUCUUGCAGGAGAAGCGAUUGCUUUGGGGUUUCAAC